GUUGGGGCUCAGUGGUAGAGCACUUGCUUAGCAUGUGUGAGGCACUGGGUUCGAUUCUCAGCACAACA
rnacentral:tRNA from 1 species